rnacentral:snRNA from 1 species
AGGCAUGUCGUUAAGUCAACUGA